UGGGUAUGUUGGUGCCCUUACACUGAGC
rnacentral:piRNA from 1 species